GACGGAGGAUGCAAGCGUUAUCCGGAAUGAUUGGGCGUAAAGCGUCCGCAGGUGGCUGUUCAAGUCUGCUGUCAAAGACCGGGGCUUAACUUCGGAAAGGCAGUGGAAACUGAACAGCUAGAGUAUGGUAGGGGCAGAGGGAUUUCCUGGUGUAGCGGUGAAAUGCGUAGAGAUCAGGAAGAACAUCGGUGGCGAAGGCGCUCUGCUGGACCAUAACUGACGCUCAGGGACGAAAGCUAGGGGAGCGAAUGGG
rnacentral:rRNA from 1 species